UACGUAGGGUGCGAGCGUUGUCCGGAAUUAUUGGGCGUAAAGGGCUCGUAGGCGGUUUGUCGCGUCGGGAGUGAAAACCCAGGGCUUAACCCUGGGCUGGCUUCCGAUACGGGCAGACUAGAGGUAUGCAGGGGAGAACGGAAUUCCUGGUGUAGCGGUGAAAUGCGUAGAUAUCUGGAGGAACACCGGUGGCGAAGGCGACAUCCUGGACCGGUAUUGACGCUGAGGCGCGAAAGCCAGGGGAGCAAACGGG
rnacentral:rRNA from 1 species